GGAUGUUGGCUCAGAAGCAGCCACCAUUUAAAGAGUGCGUAAUAGCUCACUGGUCGAGAGACGCUGCGCCGAAAAUGUCCGGGGCUCAAGCACGGAACCGAAGCUAUGGCAUGAUAGCAAUAUCAUGGGUAGGGGAGCGUUCUUAUAAGGAAGAAGCAUGACCGGAAGGACAUGUGGACGAAUAAGAAGUGAGAAUGCCGGUAUGAGUAUCGAAAAGAAAGGUGAGAAUCCUUUCCACCGAAAGCCCGAGGGUUCCUGAGCAACGAUCGUCGACUCAGGGUAAGUCGGGACCUAAGCCGAGGCGAGAAGCGUAGGCGAUGGACAACAGGUUGAAAUUCCUGUACCGGAUCAAGUCGAUCGAGCGAAGGAGCGACGCAGGAGGGCACAUGAUCGCGCGGCUGGAAGAGCGCGUCCAAGUGCGUAUGUUGCAGCAGAGGAAAACCCCUGCAGCUAAAAGCAGAGACAUGAUGGGGAGUUAAAGGAAACUUUGACGAACUCAUGGAUCCCACACUGCCAAGAAAAACUUCUAGCGAGACAAGAUCCGCCCGUACCGUAAACCGACACAGGUAGGCGGGGAGAGAAUCCUAAGGUGCGCGGGAAAACCCUCGUUAAGGAACUCGGCAAAUUGCAUCCGUAACCUAGGGAGAAGGAUGGCCCCCUGUCAGUGAAGAGCAGAAACGCUCAGAGCUAAAAGGGGCGGCAGAAAAGAGGCCCAAGCAACUGUUUACCAAAAACACAGGUGCCUGCGAAAGCGAAAGCUGAAGUAUAGGUGCUGACGCCUGCCCGGUGCCGGAAGGUUAAGGAGAGAAGUUAGCGAAAGCGAAGCAUCGAACUGAAGCCCCGGUGAACGGCGGCCGUAACUAUAACGGUCCUAAGGUAGCGAAAUUCCUUGUCGGGUAAGUUCCGACCCGCAUGAAAGGCGUAAUGAUUUGGGCACUGUCUCAACGAGGGGCCCGGUGAAAUUGAAAUACCUGUGAAGAUGCAGGUUACCCGCGACUGGACAGAAAGACCCCAUGGAGCUUCACUGCAGCUUGAGAUUGAAUCCCGGUGACAGAUGCACAGGAUAGGUGGGAGGCGUCGAAGCAUUGCCCUAGGGCGGUGCGGAGCCGAUGUUGGGAUACCACCCUUCUGUUGCUGAGAUUCUAACGCGAGGAGUAACGACCCUGCGGACCCUCUCAGGCAGGCGGUUUGACUGGGGCGGUCGCCUCCGAAAGAGUAACGGAGGCGCCCAAAGGUUCCCUCAGGCCGGACAGAAACCGGCCGAAGAGUGCAAAGGCAGAAGGGAGCUUGACUGCGAGACCAACAAGUCGAGCAGAGACGAAAGUCGGGCUUAGUGAUCCGGUGGUACUGGGUGGAAAGGCCAUCGCUCAACGGAUAAAAGCUACCCUGGGGAUAACAGGCUAAUCUCUCCCAAGAGUUCAUAUCGACGGGGAGGUUUGGCACCUCGAUGUCGGCUCAUCACAUCCUGGGGCUGGAGUAGGUCCCAAGGGUUGGGCUGUUCGCCCAUUAAAGUGGUACGCGAGCUGGGUU
rnacentral:rRNA from 1 species